rnacentral:rRNA from 1 species
CCUACGGGAGGCAGCAGUGAGGAAUAUUGGUCAAUGGUCGGGAGACUGAACCAGCCAAGCCGCGUGAGGGAUGAAGGUACAGAGUAUCGUAAACCUCUUUUGUCAGGGAACAAAGGCGGGGACGUGUCCCCGGAUGAGUGUACCUGAAGAAAAAGCAUCGGCUAACUCCGUGCCAGCAGCCGCGGUAAUACGGGGGAUGCGAGCGUUAUCCGGAUUUAUUGGGUUUAAAGGGUGAGCUGGCGGUCUGUUAAGUCAGCGGUCAAAGCCCGGGGCUCAACCCCGGCCCGCCGUUGAAACUGGCAGUCGCGAGUUGGAGAGAAGUAUGCGGAAUGCGCGGUGUAGCGGUGAAAUGCAUAGAUAUCGCGCAGAACUCCGAUUGCGAAGGCAGCAUGCCGGCUCCACACUGACGCUGAGGCACGAAAGCGUGGGUAUCGAACAGGAUUAGAUACCCGUGUAGUC